rnacentral:rRNA from 1 species
AGUCGAGCGGUAGCACAGAGAGCUUGCUCUCGGGUGACGAGCGGCGGACGGGUGAGUAAUGUCUGGGAAACUGCCUGAUGGAGGGGGAUAACUACUGGAAACGGUAGCUAAUACCGCAUAACGUCGCAAGACCAAAGAGGGGGACCUUCGGGCCUCUUGCCAUCAGAUGUGCCCAGAUGGGAUUAGCUAGUAGGUGGGGUAACGGCUCACCUAAGCGACGAUCCCUAGCUGGUCUGAGAGGAUGACCAGCCACACUGGAACUGAGACGCGGUCCAGACUCCUACGGGAGGCAGCAGUGGGGAAUAUUGCACCAUGGGCGCAAGCCUGAUGCAGCCAUGCCGCGUGUAUGAAGAAAGGCCUCGGGUUGUAAAGUACUUUCAGCGGGAAGGGAGGCGAUAAGGUUAAUAACCUUGUCGAUUGACGUUACCCGCAGAAGAAGCACCGGCUAACUCCGUGCCAGCAGCCGCGGUAAUACGGAGGGUGCAAGCGUUAAUCGGAAUUACUGGGCGUAAAGCGCACGCAGGCGGUCUGUCAAGUCGGAUGUGAAAUCCCCGGGCUCAACCUGGGAACUGCAUUCGAAACUGGCAGGCUAGAGUCUUGUAGAGGGGGGUAGAAUUCCAGGUGUAGCGGUGAAAUGCGUAGAGAUCUGGAGGAAUACCGGUGGCGAAGGCGGCCCCCUGGACA